UCCGCUUUAGCUCAGUUGGUAGAGCGCGUCACUAGUAUCACCGCGAUGACGAGGCCGGUUGUUCGAGUCAGCCAAGCGGAA